rnacentral:rRNA from 1 species
GAUGAACGCUGGCGGCGUGCCUAAUACAUGCAAGUCGAGCGAACGGACGAGAAGCUUGCUUCUCUGAUGUUAGCGGCGGACGGGUGAGUAACAUGUGGAUAACCUACCUAUAAGACUGGGAUAACUUCGGGAAACCGGAGCUAAUACCGGAUAAUAUUUUGAACCGCAUGGUUCAAAAGUGAAAGACGGUCUUGCUGUCACUUAUAGAUGGAUCCGCGCUGCAUAAGCUAGUUGGUAAGGUAACGGCUUACCAAGGCAACGAUGCAUAGCCGACCUGAGAGGGUGAUCGGCCACACUGGAACUGAGACACGGUCCAGACUCCUACGGGAGGCAGCAGUAGGGAAUCUUCCGCAAUGGGCGAAAGCCUGACGGAGCAACGCCGCGUGAGUGAUGAAGGUCUUCGGAUCGUAAAACUCUGUUAUUAGGGAAGAACAUAUGUGUAAGUAACUGUGCACAUCUUGACGGUACCUAAUCAGAAAGCCACGGCUAACUACGUG